rnacentral:rRNA from 1 species
UCGAGCGGACAGAUGGGAGCUUGCUCCCUGAUGUUAGCGGCGGACGGGUGAGUAACACGUGGGUAACCUGCCUGUAAGACUGGGAUAACUCCGGGAAACCGGGGCUAAUACCGGAUGCUUGUUUGAACCGCAUGGUUCAAACAUAAAAGGUGGCUUCGGCUACCACUUACAGAUGGACCCGCGGCGCAUUAGCUAGUUGGUGAGGUAACGGCUCACCAAGGCGACGAUGCGUAGCCGACCUGAGAGGGUGAUCGGCCACACUGGGACUGAGACACGGCCCAGACUCCUACGGGAGGCAGCAGUAGGGAAUCUUCCGCAAUGGACGAAAGUCUGACGGAGCAACGCCGCGUGAGUGAUGAAGGUUUUCGGAUCGUAAAGCUCUGUUGUUAGGGAAGAACAAGUGCCGUUCAAAUAGGGCGGCACCUUGACGGUACCUAACCAGAAAGCCACGGCUAACUACGUGCCAGCAGCCGCGGUAAUACGUAGGUGGCAAGCGUUGUCCGGAAUUAUUGGGCGUAAAGGGCUCGCAGGCGGUUUCUUAAGUCUGAUGUGAAAGCCCCCGGCUCAACCGGGGAGGGUCAUUGGAAACUGGGGAACUUGAGUGCAGAAGAGGAGAGUGGAAUUCCACGUGUAGCGGUGAAAUGCGUAGAGAUGUGGAGGAACACCAGUGGCGAAGGCGACUCUCUGGUCUGUAACUGACGCUGAGGAGCGAAAGCGUGGGGAGCGAACAGGAUUAGAUACCCUGGUAGUCCACGCCGUAAACGAUGAGUGCUAAGUGUUAGGGGGUUUCCGCCCCUUAGUGCUGCAGCUAACGCAUUAAGCACUCCGCCUGGGGAGUACGGUCGCAAGACUGAAACUCAAAGGAAUUGACGGGGGCCCGCACAAGCGGUGGAGCAUGU